rnacentral:rRNA from 1 species
GACGUAGGGCGCGAGCGUUGUCCGGAUUUAUUGGGCGUAAAGAGCUCGUAGGCGGCUUGUCGCGUCGAUUGUGAAAGCCCGGGGCUUAACUCCGGGUCUGCAGUCGAUACGGGCAGGCUAGAGUGUGGUAGGGGAGAUCGGAAUUCCUGGUGUAGCGGUGAAAUGCGCAGAUAUCAGGAGGAACACCGGUGGCGAAGGCGGAUCUCUGGGCCAUUACUGACGCUGAGGAGCGAAAGCGUGGGGAGCGAACAGG